GCCUUGAUUCAUCCGGAAAUGCUGAAGACAGCCAUGCUCGGGAGCAUGGCUGUCUUCCUUUGUUUCAUGG
rnacentral:sRNA from 1 species